GAGUGAACGCUGGCGGUAGGCCUAACACAUGCAAGUCGAACGGCAGCACAGUAAGAGCUUGCUCUUACGGGUGGCGAGUGGCGGACGGGUGAGGAAUACAUCGGAAUCUACUUUUUCGUGGGGGAUAACGUAGGGAAACUUACGCUAAUACCGCAUACGACCUACGGGUGAAAGCAGGGGAUCUUCGGACCUUGCGCGAUUGAAUGAGCCGAUGUCGGAUUAGCUAGUUGGCGGGGUAAAGGCCCACCAAGGCGACGAUCCGUAGCUGGUCUGAGAGGAUGAUCAGCCACACUGGAACUGAGACACGGUCCAGACUCCUACGGGAGGCAGCAGUGGGGAAUAUUGGACAAUGGGCGCAAGCCUGACCCAGCCAUACCGCGUGGGUGAAGAAGGCCUUCGGGUUGUAAAGCCCUUUUGUUGGGAAAGAAAAGCAGCAGGUUAAUACCCCGCUGUUCUGACGGUACCCAAAGAAUAAGCACCGGCUAACUUCGUG
rnacentral:rRNA from 1 species